CAUUAGAAGACGAGUGUGAUUCUUUGUGAAGUUUGAAGCCCAAAGACUGAUCCAGUGAGAACUGGCUCCAUGGACCCUCUGAUUAUUCAUCUGUGAAUCAUGACUACAAGUCCUAUCUUGAAUGUGGAAGGUGCUGUGUGAGAUGCUCCAGUUCCAAGCCCACAUAUUAUCUCUGUGCAGUAGCUCUGGGGUAACCAGACUGUUGACCUUCCUGUGGCUACAUCUUCUUUUGCCAGCUCUUUCUUACACCUUCACAAAGACAAGUCCCUUACACAAUUACAGUUUUAACUUCUCCAGUGCUCCAUGCUGUUUAUGAACAAUCCACCACACUAGAUGACCUGACCUCAAGACUUCCACUGUGCAGGGGAGGAUCUGAUGCCCAACAUGUGAACAAAGGAACAGCUGUAAAGCCAUGGCUUGGAAGCACCACCCGUGAGGAAAAUAGACCCAGAGAGAAGACACGGCUUGGGUCUUCUUGUGCCACAUUCAUGCUCUUUGAGCCUAAAGCUAGACAAGGAAAGCAAGGCAAAUCUCCCAAGACCACUCAGCCAGCGCCUGGCGGAGGGCGGAUGGGCACGUGGGUACUCUGGUGGUGGAGGCGAAUCUUCAGGGUAUUGAGCUUCACCACCUCGCAGAACACACUCAAGACUCAUUCUAGGGCGUGCUGUUUGUCCGACGUCUGGAAGCUUCAAGGAAAAGGCUCUGCCAAUUUUCAUCAGAUUUUGAAAGUGGAUCAUCACCCCCCCAAACGAGAGGAGGGAUCUCUG